rnacentral:lncRNA from 1 species
UACUGGGAGCACUGGGAGGGGUUACUGAUUCAUACUGGGAGCACUGGGAGCCAAACUGGGAGCACUGGGAGCCAUACUGGGCCAUACUGGGAGUACUGGGAGCCAUACUGGGCCAUACUGGGAGGAGUUACUGGGCCAUACUGGGAGUACUGGGAAUGCCAACCCCAUACUGGGAGCAAAACUGGAACAUACUGGGAGCACUGGAAGCCAUACUGGGAAUGUCAACCCCAUACUGGGAGCACUAGGAGCCAAACUGGGCCAUACUGGGAGCACUGGGAGCCAAACUGGGAGUACUGGGAGGGGUUACUGGUCCAUACUGGGAGCACUGAGAACCAAACUGGGCCAUACUGGUCCAUACUGGGAGCACUGGGAGAGGGUUUGGGCCAAACUGGGAGCACUGGGAGCUGUUACUGGUCCAUACUGGUCGCACUGGUUUGUACUGGGAGCCCCGGCGAUGACGUCACCGCCCCGCCCGCCAAUAAAAUCGCUCUUCUAACCCCGCUUCGUGCAUGACGUCA